AUAGCAUUCAGACCGUUCGUCGGUCUACUGAGCAAAUUCAGGCGCUCGGUGGAAGAUUUUCCCUUUGUCUA
rnacentral:pre_miRNA from 1 species